CUAGCCGCCACCUUCUUUUUUUCCCUGCCUUCUCCUCUCACGCGUAGCUUCCUUCUUCUCUGCUCAUGGCACACGGCAGCAGCAGCCUCCCAUGGCCGCCAAGCUCCAGCCCCUCCCUACGAGCUCCCUCCUCCCGCUGCUCGGUACCCUGAGCUCCUGCUCUUCUCCCAUGGAUGGCGCCCAGAAAUUUUUUCCAACGCCUUCACUGUUCAUCUUCCUCCCAGCAGGCUGAGCUUGCUGUUCCCCUGCUCCAUGGCGUCCCCUGCAGGCGAGCAGCGGCUCCCAUUCCCCAGCGACAUCCUCUUCGCCGUCGUCCAUGGUGUUCCUGCGAACCUCCCUGUCCAUGGUCGACCUCCUUUCUUCCUCCCUGUUCCCCUACUCCUUCUCCCUGGAACGCGGCAGCCCUGCACGUCCCUUCCAAUGGCACCCUCCCUGUCUUCUUCACAGCCGUGCAGCAGCCUGCGCACUUCCCUGUCCAUGGUGUCCGAGUUCCCUGCGCCCAGUUCUUCAAUCCAAAAACAGCAGCAGCAUCUCCCUCCCCUUCCCUGCGCUUGUCGUGGCUGAGCUCGCCCCCUGCCAGGAGCACGCCAUGGCCGGAUCCCCCUGCCAUGGACGUCGCGCAGGAAGCCAGCGCCCCUCCCUGCACAGCUCCAUUUCUCCAUGGUCGCGAGCUUUUCCUUGCUGCGACUGCCUCCCAAG
rnacentral:misc_RNA from 1 species